UAAGCCUGUGAAGGUGUGUCGUGAGGCAUGCUGGAGGUAUCAGAAGUGCGAAUGCUGACAUAAGUAACGAUAAAGCGGGUGAAAAGCCCGCUCGCCGGAAGACCAAGGGUUCCUGUCCAACGUUAAUCGGGGCAGGGUGAGUCGACCCCUAAGGCGAGGCCGAAAGGCGUAGUCGAUGGGAAACGGGUUAAUAUUCCCGUACUUGGUGUUACUGCGAAGGGGGGACGGAGAAGGCUAUGUUGGCCGGGCGACGGUUGUCCCGGUUUAAGCGUGUAGGUGUGUGUUCCAGGUAAAUCCGGUUCACUUUAACACUGAGGCGUGACGACGAGGCACUACGGUGCUGAAGCAACAAAUGCCCUGCUUCCAGGAAAAGCCUCUAAGCAUCAGGUAACAUCAAAUCGUACCCCAAACCGACACAGGUGGUCAGGUAGAGAAUACCAAGGCGCUUGAGAGAACUCGGGUGAAGGAACUAGGCAAAAUGGUGCCGUAACUUCGGGAGAAGGCACGCUGACACGUAGGUGAAGUGAUUUACUCAUGGAGCUGAAGUCAGUCGAAGAUACCAGCUGGCUGCAACUGUUUAUUAAAAACACAGCACUGUGCAAACACGAAAGUGGACGUAUACGGUGUGACGCCUGCCCGGUGCCGGAAGGUUAAUUGAUGGGGUCAGCGCAAGCGAAGCUCCUGAUCGAAGCCCCGGUAAACGGCGGCCGUAACUAUAACGGUCCUAAGGUAGCGAAAUUCCUUGUCGGGUAAGUUCCGACCUGCACGAAUGGCGUAAUGAUGGCCAGGCUGUCUCCACCCGAGACUCAGUGAAAUUGAACUCGCUGUGAAGAUGCAGUGUACCCGCGGCAAGACGGAAAGACCCCGUGAACCUUUACUAUAGCUUGACACUGAACAUUGAGCCUUGAUGUGUAGGAUAGGUGGGAGGCUUUGAAGUGUGGACGCCAGUCUGCAUGGAGCCGACCUUGAAAUACCACCCUUUAAUGUUUGAUGUUCUAACGUGGACCCGUGAUCCGGGUUGCGGACAGUGUCUGGUGGGUAGUUUGACUGGGGCGGUCUCCUCCUAAAGAGUAACGGAGGAGCACGAAGGUUGGCUAAUCCUGGUCGGACAUCAGGAGGUUAGUGCAAUGGCAUAAGCCAGCUUGACUGCGAGCGUGACGGCGCGAGCAGGUGCGAAAGCAGGUCAUAGUGAUCCGGUGGUUCUGAAUGGAAGGGCCAUCGCUCAACGGAUAAAAGGUACUCCGGGGAUAACAGGCUGAUACCGCCCAAGAGUUCAUAUCGACGGCGGUGUUUGGCACCUCGAUGUCGGCUCAUCACAUCCUGGGGCUGAAGUAGGUCCCAAGGGUAUGGCUGUUCGCCAUUUAAAGUGGUACGCGAGCUGGGUUUAGAACGUCGUGAGACAGUUCGGUCCCUAUCUGCCGUGGGCGCUGGAGAACUGAGGGGGGCUGCUCCUAGUACGAGAGGACCGGAGUGGACGCAUCACUGGUGUUCGGGUUGUCAUGCCAAUGGCACUGCCCGGUAGCUAAAUGCGGAAGAGAUAAGUGCUGAAAGCAUCUAAGCACGAAACUUGCCC
rnacentral:rRNA from 1 species